rnacentral:rRNA from 1 species
AACGAACACUGGCGGCAGGCCUAACACAUGCAAGUCGAACGCUGUAGCAAUACAGAGUGGCAGACGGGUGAGUAACGCGUGGGAACCUUCCCAAUGGUGCGGAAUAGCCCAGGGAAACUUGGGGUAAUACCGCAUAAGCCCUUAGGGGGAAGGAUUUAUCGCCAUUGGAUGGGCCCGCGUCGGAUUAGCUAGUUGGUGAGGUAAUGGCUCACCAAGGCAACGAUCCGUAGCUGGUUUGAGAGAAUGACCAGCCACACUGGGACUGAGACACGGCCCAGACUCCUACGGGAGGCAGCAGUGGGGAAUCUUGGACAAUGGGCGCAAGCCUGAUCCAGCCAUGCCGCGUGAGUGACGAAGGCCUUAGGGUUGUAAAGCUCUUUUGCCGGGGACGAUAAUGACGGUACCCGGAGAAUAAGUCCCGGCUAACUUCGUGCCAGCAGCCGCAGUAA